AUGAUUGCGAAUGGUUACCUUUGGUGCUGGCUCUCGCGAGCAAGUGCACAUUGGUGGCUUUCAUCCACUACUACCCUUGUGAACCUUUGGCCUCUUGCUCGCUUCGGCUGGCAGAGGAUUUUACACACUCUGAAAUGUAAUGAUAAACUGUUGUGUGCAUAUGCACUACUAUA
rnacentral:misc_RNA from 1 species